rnacentral:rRNA from 1 species
UGGGGAAUAUUGGGCAAUGGGGGAAACCCUGACCCAGCAACGCCGCGUGAAGGAAGAAGGCCUUCGGGUUGUAAACUUCUUUUACCAGGGACGAAGGACGUGACGGUACCUGGAGAAAAAGCAACGGCUAACUACGUGCCAGCAGCCGCGGUAAUACGUAGGUUGCAAGCGUUGUCCGGAUUUACUGGGUGUAAAGGGCGUGUAGGCGGAGAUGCAAGUUGGGAGUGAAAUCCAUGGGCUCAACCCAUGAACUGCUCUCAAAACUGUAUCCCUUGAGUAUCGGAGAGGCAAGCGGAAUUCCUAGUGUAGCGGUGAAAUGCGUAGAUAUUAGGAGGAACACCAGUGGCGAAGGCGGCUUGCUGGACGACAACUGACGCUGAGGCGCGAAAGCGUGGGGAGCAAACA